rnacentral:lncRNA from 1 species
UAUCUUGUACUAGACCGACAAGUUAUUUACAACUUCAAAAAUUAGUAAAAGAUAUAGUUGGCAUUUAACUUAGCACAUAGACUUCAUUACUAAAUUAUAUAAAUUGGUUAAUACCUUACAUAUUUGGCCUAUUUUUAUAUCACUCCACCACUUAACUUACUCCAAUAACAGUUCUUUAUACAUUUGGCCUACCUUAGGCUUCCUCAUUGCUUCCACCAAAAUCAUCAUAUAUUGUGAAUAACCAUAUUCUAGUUGCAAGCCUCCUCCUCCUUUGUUUUCUCUCCCACUC